UAGAGUUUGAUCCUGCUCAUACGAACGCUGGGCGGCGUGCUUAAUACAUGCAAGUCGAGCGGACAGAUGGGAGCUUGCUCCCUGAAGUCAGCGGCGGACGGGUGAGUAACACGUGGGCAACCUCCCUGUAAGACUGGGAUAACUCCGGGAAACCGGGGCUAAUACCGGAUAAUUCUUUUCCUCUCAUGAGGAAAAGCUGAAAGAUGGUUUCGGCUAUCACUUACAGAUGGGCCCGCGGCGCAUUAGCUAGUUGGUGAGGUAACGGCUCACCAAGGCCACGAUGCGUAGCCGACCUGAGAGGGUGAUCGGCCACACUGGGACUGAGACACGGCCCAGACUCCUACGGGAGGCAGCAGUAGGGAAUCUUCCGCAAUGGACGAAAGUCUGACGGAGCAACGCCGCGUGAGUGAUGAAGGUUUUCGGAUCGUAAAACUCUGUUGUCAGGGAAGAACAAGUACCGGAGUAACUGCCGUACCUUGACGGACCUGACCAGAAA
rnacentral:rRNA from 1 species